GACGAACGCUGGCGGCGUGCUUAACACAUGCAAGUCGAACGGAAAGGCCCUGCUUUUGUGGGGUGCUCGAGUGGCGAACGGGUGAGUAACACGUGAGUAACCUGCCCUUGACUUUGGGAUAACUUCAGGAAACUGGGGCUAAUACCGGAUAGGAGCUCCUGCUGCAUGGUGGGGGUUGGAAAGUUUCGGCGGUUGGGGAUGGACUCGCGGCUUAUCAGCUUGUUGGUGGGGUAGUGGCUUACCAAGGCUUUGACGGGUAGCCGGCCUGAGAGGGUGACCGGCCACAUUGGGACUGAGAUACGGCCCAGACUCCUACGGGAGGCAGCAGUGGGGAAUAUUGCACGAUGGGCGGAAGCCUGAUGCAGCAACGCCGCGUGCGGGAUGACGGCCUUCGGGUUGUAAACCGCUUGCGCCUGUGACGAAGCGUGAGUGACGGUAAUGGGUAAAGAAGCACCGGCUAACUACGUG
rnacentral:rRNA from 1 species